rnacentral:rRNA from 1 species
UACGUAGGGGGCUAGCGUUGUCCGGAUUUAUUGGGCGUAAAGAGCGUGUAGGCGGCCAUACAGGUCAGCUGUGAAAACUCGAGGCUCAACCUCGAGACGUCGGUUGAAACCGUAUGGCUAGAGUCCGGAAGAGGAGAGUGGAAUUCCCGGUGUAGCGGUGAAAUGCGCAGAUAUCAGGAAGAACACCCGUGGCGAAGGCGGCUCUCUGGUACGUGACUGACGCUGAGACGCGAAAGCGUGGGGAGCAAACAGG